rnacentral:rRNA from 1 species
CCUUCGGGGUUAGUGGCGCACGGGUGCGUAACGCGUGGGAACCUGCCUUAAGGUUCGGAAUAACAGUUAGAAAUGACUGCUAAUACCGGAUGAUGUCUUCGGACCAAAGAUUUAUCGCCUUAAGAUGGGCCCGCGUUGGAUUAGGUAGUUGGUGGGGUAAAGGCCUACCAAGCCGACGAUCCAUAGCUGGUCUGAGAGGAUGAUCAGCCACACUGGGACUGAGACACGGCCCAGACUCCUACGGGAGGCAGCAGUGGGGAAUAUUGGACAAUGGGGGAAACCCUGAUCCAGCAAUGCCGCGUGAGUGAUGAAGGCCUUAGGGUUGUAAAGCUCUUUUACCAGGGAUGAUAAUGACAGUACCUGGAGAAUAAGCUCCGGCUAACUCCGUGCCAGCAGCCGCGGUAAUACGGAGGGAGCUAGCGUUGUUCGGAAUUACUGGGCGUAAAGCGCGCGUAGGCGGUCUAUUAAGUCAGGGGUGAAAUCCCGGGGCUCAACCCCGGAACUGCCCUUGAAACUGCUAGACUAGAAUCUUGGAGAGGUCAGUGGAAUUCCGAGUGUAGAGGUGAAAUUCGUAGAUAUUCGGAAGAACACCAGUGGCGAAGGCGACUGACUGGACAAGUAUUGACGCUGAGGUGCGAAAGUGUGGGGAGCAAACAGGAUUAGAUACCCUGGUAGUCCACACCGUAAACGAUGAUAACUAGCUGUCCGGGUUCACAGAACUUGGGUGGCGCAGCUAACGCAUUAAGUUAUCCGCCUGGGGAGUACGUCGCAAGAUUAAAACUCAAAGGAAUUGACGGGGCCUGCACAAGCGU